CCCGCGCACCGAAGGGCCGGCUAUUUGCAGCCGCUCAGCCCCGGGGCAGGUUCGUCGCUCUUACGAUAUUAGCACCGGGCGAAAGAUCGCACAGCGCGGCUCCUCCAUGCAAGCUGAAGGGUUUCCGCCUUCAGCACAGGGAGGUGGCUCCCGGCUUCUCUGCUUCAAGGCUUCGGAAGAGGCGAGGAGAUGGGGCGGCCCGUGGCCAGUUAUCCUAGCGAACGCUACGAACAGUGAUGGCCGGGGAUAGGGGCUGUUCCCCCCCCUUCCCCACCAGACACGCACCCACUGUUUCUGGGGCCCCUCCCUGGGGAAGGAGAGCUCCGUGCGGAGGUGAGGAAUCCCAUUAGCCUGUAAGCCCUUUGCCGAGGAGAACAAAGCCACGCACACAAGCCCGCCUUUGCUGCCAUACUGAUUGCACUCUGGGCCGCCCCAGAUGUGCAGGCCCUUCCAUAGAACAGUGGCUGGGGAGCUUAUUAACACCCGUCCGGGCCCUCCAAGGGGCAGACGGAGACGAGCUGAUCGAGGCAAAUGGAAAGGCCAGCGGCAGUAACCCCCAUCCCUUCUGCUCUCGCCCGGGACAGCGGGGGCCCAGCUGUGGGGCAAUGCCUCCCCCUGCCGGCCGCUGGGCACCGUGCACCCACACCCCGGGUCCCUGAGAACGCCUUUCUCUCCGAGGCACCCGGGACGAGCCCUGCUCAGCAAACGCGACAUUGUUAUCCCCGCUACAGGGCAUCGUGCUUGGCCCCUGAGGAGAACGCGUCUGCUGGCAGCUCCUUUUCCUGGCUGCUGCUGGGCAAGGUGCUGGGGGAGGGGAGCCGCAAAGGGGAACUAGCCGCAUCACAUUUAUACUCGUCACAAAACGACAUUUAUUUUCAACAAAGCGCCAUUGAUUUUGUAGCUUGGUGGACCCAAGUGGGACAUUAGCAUUAACCCUAACAGACCACACUUCUGGCCCGCUGACAUUUCUAAUCACCGUUACAGAAGCGUGCAUGGAAUGAGAUAGUAGGGUGAGAUGUAGCCAAACCCUGGAUCCAACCUUAGUUUGUUUGUUUGGGUUUUUUGUUUUGUUUUUUGGUGGUGGGGGUAGCAGAAAUCCUAACCUGGAUCUGGGUCCCAUUUUUUUGCAAAUAGUACCCCCCUUCUUAAAUUGGUUAGCUCCAAACCCCAGGUCUACCUCCUGCAAACUUCUGAAACUCUCAGUGUCUUUCACUGUAUGUCCUACAGACAGACCUCAGUAGAAAUACCAGUUUAAUUUCAUUUAUAUACCAUUCCUCAGAGUUCUAGGCUUAUGUAGGACAUUUUUACAGACAGAGUCAAGCUGCCAACCUCUACUCCCAGAAGGGAACCAGCUCUUCUGGCCUGUGGUACAUCCUGCAUGUUACAGACUUACCUGAGGUCAUACUGGAACAAAAGAGAAGGUCUGCUGGCUAGUGAAAGGCAAACAAAAAUCAGAAACGUAUAUAUCCCACACGCCACAUUGCAUUGACAAGUGCUUCCUGUCCCAUUGCAUUUCUACCACCUGAUCUAGAAAAAGUACAAAGUGCAAAGAAAUCAUCUGGCAUGAGGUAUUAAACCCAAGGGAAAACUGAAGGACAGAUUUGCUGUGUACAGAAGCAACCGGAAGGUUUAAUUCCUAGUGUUGCCCCUUGCCCUCUGUGCUGCCAGUGUUAAAUUCAAAGAGGAGACCAGCUUGAAAAUCGAUGACUUUAUGUGGCCUUAAAAUUACACACUAAUGGUUCAGAUGUACGAGCGUCCCAUGAAAUUGGAGCCAGCAUAGAAAUCUGGGAAAGAUUGGAGGUUAAGUCCCGCCAGAGUUUAGAAGGGCAGAUGUUUGCCAUUCUGGAGACAGAUUAUUUAACCCUGGUGGGUAGAACGGCCCAGCUAGGAUAGAAAGAAAAAUCAGAAAGAGACUGGCAGUUUUGGUGAGAAAAACAUGCUGAGAAAGUAGACACCAAUCUGUUUGGAAUCUGCAGGAUUAUAAAAGCCAGCUAGAUGCAGCUUAAAGCCAAGAGGUGAUGGCAGUUGAGAAGAAGGAGUUUUUGCAGUCAAGGCCCAGAAAUGCCAAGAACAUAACGACAAAGGGCUCACUUCUUGGGAGCCUGCUGCAGGUCGCCUAGUUUAGUAUUUACAUGUUAAAUAUUUAAGGAUUUUUCCUAUUUCAGAGUAUUUGUUACAUUGUUUUGUCUUGGUGCAACAA